UCAAAAUGAUGAGAUUCUACUUCACUGGUCUGUGUUUCUGAAACACAUAAUAAUUGUGAAAUUCUGAUUUA
ensembl:snoRNA SNORD18 Small nucleolar RNA SNORD18